AGGAACUACAAACCCUUUUAGGGGAGGAAAUAGGGCAAGCACCUUAUGAACUUUAGGUUUAAAAACUACACUUUAAAGGACUUUUUCAAUGGCUUGGGACUUUGGUUUAUGUAAGCAGUUUCUAUGACUCAGUAUUUUGAGUUUUUCUCCCCCAGAUUUGAAGUUUAUUAUUGGGGAGUAUUAAUUACUCCUCUGCCACCAACCAUUCUAGUGCUGAGACAUGCUUAGGAGAUACAGGGUGUGCGUGCACCAAAAAGCACCAAGGAGGAACUGGAGCCUUGGCAGGACCAGGAGGGUGCCCAGAGCAGCUCUGCAGGCAGAGUGAGUGCCUUCACUGCUCUGUCAUCACCAGUCCCUGAGAGCAAUCACCACCCACCAACAGUUCCUCGAGAUAAGGCCGAGCCAGCUGGGAGAAGAAAGCCUUUGAUAUUCCCUGCCUUGCUGAGCCAGACCUUCCCAAGAGCUCAGCACCCAUUUUGCCAGCACUGGAGAAAUUAUUUCCUUUUUGUUGCUACUUUAGAUACCCGUGGCCAAUAUCAGUAACGUUUACCCAGCUCCUGCCCCAAAAUGCUUACAGCUAGACUUGUUCAAGACCGCAAAAACUGAGCUAAAAAUCUUUUGAAGUGCUUUGUCUCCUGCUUAUUGCUCAGAGCACCCUGAUGAGAACUUUUUUGAGAAAGCAAAAUUCCAUCAUCCCUCCCCCCAGUUUUAGUCAGACCCUUCUGUCAUCAUUUUCAGAUUUCUUUUUUUCGCUGAUGUAAAACCUUACAAGAAAAGUAGGCACGUUUGUUUUGUUGAUCAGGACUAUUUUCUGUGAUGCUCUUCUGUUUGGAAACAGAGCAAGAGCAUACUUGUCUCAGACACAGACGUACAGUAGAUAAAUAAAAAGAGAGAUGCUACAUCCCAGAUAGGCAUUGUAUUGUGCUUUGCUACAGCAGGAAACAGGAUUAAACUUUGAUUUUCAUCUCCUGUCUGCAUUCUCAGUGAGAAAAUACAGUCAAGGCCAAUUUUGUAGUUGAUCUAUCUCUAUGGAAAGUUGAUUUUAACGCGGUGCCAAAUGAAGAAUCACAGUUAAGGUUUUCACAGUAACAAUAACAGUCGUGCAGGGAGAGUGAGCUAAGAGUGCUCUCUGCAGCCCAGAGGAAAAUAGAGGUGCCUUCCAGUCACCAGUCCAUUUGAGGUGUGCACACAUUUAAUUUUCUGAAAGGACAUCACCUAUGCAAGCACUCAGCUUUCAUCUCUGCCCAGAGCAUCCGAAGGGGAAAGUCUUGACAUGGGAUACAGCAUCUGAGUCCUGCUCCAAAGUCGUACAAUCCUCUGAUGCUUUCAGCUCUCAUUUCCCCUGAUGCGACGGAAAAUCAAUAAAUCCUCUUGGUCUGUUUGAUUAUGGGGCAAAGGAACUGUGUUAGCUGGAAACACAGCUAUCAGCUUAUUCCUCUUCCCAAAGUAUGCCAAAGCCUUUGGUCAUCCAAAUCCCAUGAAUCUGAGGCAGAGAAUUCAUACACUUGUUGCAGUGACCCCCAUCGCUGAAAACAGAAAUGUAAACUUCAGACAUAGGGCUGCUUAUCCAAGCCAAGUUUCUAAUCUUUUGAGAUUUGCCCAUCACAAAUCAUAAAUGCAAAGUGGAAAAAAAAGGCGGAAAUUUGGAGUGAUAGAGCCUAGCUAAAACCCAUCAAAUAUAUCAUCUCUUUGAGUCAGGCUGGAAUAACAUGGAAAUGGGAUAUUAUAGCCUGAUGAUCGGUUGAACUUCCUUCAACACGUACCCCUGGGAAAAGAGAGAGACACUGAAGCCUAAAUGUGGAAAAAAAGAAAAAGAGCCUCAGACAGGCAGAAGAAGCAGAACUGUGAGGGCAGCCUUUGAACUGCUGGAAGGAUGUGCCCCCCACAUCACUUUCUCAACUUUCCCUGCAAUUCAACAGCUGUGUUUCUCACGGCUCAUGUCUGAGGUGGCUGGGCACGUAAGAGUAACACUGACAGGGGGUUAGGGUGCAGGGAAGGUGCUAAUCUUUUGCCGUGUGUGUAGGUAUGUAAUCACUUAGCAGAUAAUCUCAGCCUCUGUAGAGACAGCCGUUCAUUUUAAAACAAAGACCAAACAAGCUGCUGCCGGGAGGCUCUGAUCAGUUUGUAAUUUACCUUUAGCGCACUAAAAAGUCCUCAUCACUGAGGUGAAAGAUGCCGGAUUUGUGUAAAUCAGAAUAGCCCCAAGUUCCUUGCUACCCAGAGCAUCAGUGUCCUCUGACUGAGCUUCUCUGUCACUGCCUUCCCUCUGGACAGGCACUGCAUCAAUAAGGCAGCGGAAGGUGAAGAGAUGGAAAUCAAUCUGCCUCUCAUUAGUGGGACAAAUAGAAGAGUU